UACGGGGGGGGCAAGCGUUGUUCGGAAUUACUGGGCGUAAAGGGUCUGUAGGUGGCUUGCUAAGUCAGACGUGAAAUCCCUCAGCUUAACUGGGGAACUGCGUCUGAGACUGGCGAGCUUGAGGGCAGGAGAGGAACGCGGAAUUCCAGGUGUAGCGGUGAAAUGCGUAGAUAUCUGGAGGAACACCGGUGGCGAAGGCGGCGUUCUGGACUGUUUCUGACACUGAGAGACGAAAGCCAGGGGAGCAAACGGG
rnacentral:rRNA from 1 species